rnacentral:rRNA from 1 species
UACGUAGGGGGCAAGCGUUGUCCGGAAUCAUUGGGCGUAAAGCGCGUGUAGGCGGCCUUGUAAGUCCGUUCUGAAAGCCCGGGGCUCAACCCCGGGAGGCGGAUGGAUACUGCAGGGCUCGAGUACGGAAGAGGCGAGUGGAAUUCCCGGUGUAGCGGUGAAAUGCGCAGAUAUCGGGAGGAACACCAGUGGCGAAGGCGGCUUCCUGGCCGUGUUCUGACGCUGAGGCGCGAAAGCUAGGGGAGCAAACGGGG